GAUGAACGCUGGCGGCGUGCUUAACACAUGCAAGUCGAACGAAGUAUAUUGGAAUGAGUUCUUCGGAACAAAUGAAUUUAUACUUAGUGGCGGACGGGUGAGUAACGCGUGGAUAACCUGCCUUACACUGGGGGACAACAGUUAGAAAUGACUGCUAAUACCGCAUAAGCGCACAGUACCGCAUGGUACGGUGUGAAAAACUCCGGUGGUGUAAGAUGGAUCCGCGUCUGAUUAGCUAGUUGGUGAGGUAAUGGCUCACCAAGGCGACGAUCAGGAGCCGGCCUGAGAGGGUGAACGGCCACAUUGGGACUGAGACACGGCCCAGACUCCUACGGGAGGCAGCAGUGGGGAAUAUUGCACAAUGGGCGAAAGCCUGAUGCAGCGACGCCGCGUGAGCGAAGAAGUAUUUCGGUAUGUAAAGCUCUAUCAGCAAGGAAGAUAAUGACGGUACUUGACUAAGAAGCCCCGGCUAACUACGUGCCAGCAGCCGCAGUAA
rnacentral:rRNA from 1 species